AGAUGAACAAAAUACAAUUAUAAAUUUCUCCAAUGAUUUAUUCAUUGUUAUUAAAUACAAGCCAUUCAAUUUUAUCAUUUUAUCCCACAUUAUUGUUUGUCUGAAAUUCAAAAAAAUCAAUAAAAGACCAGUAUAGUAUAUGAGCCAUAAAUCUAAUGAUCAAAAUCGAAGAUAGGGUUCGAUUCACAGCUAGGUCUGGCAUUUUAGCUUCAACAGACUGCAGUAUAGUAUGUGAGCCAUGAAACUAAUGAUAAAAAUCGAAGAUAGGGUUCGAUUCACAGCUAGGUCUGGCAUUUUAGCUUCAACAGACUGCAGUAUAGUAUGUGAGCUAUAAAACUAAUGAUCAAAAUCGAAGAUAGGGUUCGAUUCACAGCUAGGUCUGGCAUUUUAGCUUCAACAUACUGCACUGAAACAUAGCUCUAGAUUUUCAAAUCAAGCCAAGCAUCAAAUAUUGUAACACAGUUUAGGAUGUCAUCAUUGCAUUUAAUACAAUUAUAAGGGACCUGUCAGUGUUGUAAAGUAAUUCUGAAUUUUUCCAUUUCAAAUUCAUGAGAAAAUAUUUGAAGACAAACUUUUUUCCAAUCAAUAUCGACAUAAUAUCACUUUAGUUGAUUCACUUAGGAUGUUAUCAUUGCAUUUAAAUAUAAUAUAAGGGACCUGGUAAUUUUGUAAAAUAAUUCUGAAUUUUCCCAUUUUAAAUUUAUGUGAAAAUAUUUGAAGACAAACUUUUUUCCAACCAAUAUCGACAUAAUAUUACCAUAGA